rnacentral:rRNA from 1 species
CAGCCGCCGCGGUAAUACCGGCGGCCCGAGUGGCGGUCACUAUUAUUGGGCUUAAAACGUCCGUAGCCGGGUUGGGAAGUCCUCCGGGAAAUCUGGCCGCUUAAAGGUCAGAAUGCCGGAGGAUACUCCCAGCCUAGGGAGCGGGAGAGGCCGAGGGUAUUCCCGGGGUAGGGGUGAAAUCCUAUAAUCCCGGGAGGACCACCUGUGGCGAAGGCGCUCGGCUGGAACGCGUCCGACGGUGAGGGACGAAGGCCAGGGGAGUAAACCGGAUUAGAUACCCGGGUAGUCCUGGCUGUAAACGAUGCGGACUUUGUGUCGGACAAGCUAUGAGCUUGUCCGGUGCCGGAGGGAAACCGUUAAGUCCGCCGCCUGGGGAGUACGGCCGCAAGGCUGAAACUUAAAGGAUUGGCGGG